UUGAGAUCUGGGCGUCUCCUCUUUGGAGGACCCUCGAGACGGCCUCUAUCUGCCUGUGCGGAGACGGCACAGUUUGUGCGAGGGAAGGCGACAAAGAUGCGAC
rnacentral:ribozyme from 1 species